rnacentral:rRNA from 1 species
CUACGGGUUGCUGCAGUGAGGAAUAUUGCACAAUGGGGGGGAACCCUGAUGCAGCAACGCCGCUUGGAGGAUGACGCAUUUCGGUGUGUAAACUCCUUUUAUAUGUCAAGAAAAUGACGGUAGCAUAUGAAUAAGCACCGGCUAACUCCGUGCCAGCAGCCGCGGUAAUACGGAGGGUGCAAGCGUUACUCGGAAUCACUGGGCGUAAAGGACGCGUAGGCGGGUUGGAAAGUCAGGUGUGAAAUCCUACAGCUUAACUGUAGAGCUGCACUUGAAACUUCUAAUCUAGAGUAUGGGAGGGGGAGAUGGAAUUAGUGGUGUAGGGGUGAAAUCCGUAGAUAUCACUAGGAAUACCUAAAGCGAAGGCGAUCUCCUGGAACAUUACUGACGCUAAGGCGUGAAAGCGUGGGGAGCAAACAGGAUUAAUACCCUGGUAGUC